rnacentral:tRNA from 1 species
GCCUGCGUAGCUCAGCGGUAGAGCGGCCCCACUUGCGGGUGGUCAGGGGUUCAAAUCCCCUCGCAGGCA